GACAGAGGGUGCAAACGUUGUUCGGAAUUACUGGGCAUAAAGCGCACGUAGGUGGUCUGCUAAGUCAUGUGUGAAAUCUCCCGGCUCAACCGGGGAAUUGCGCUCGAUACUGGCAGGCUCGAGGUUGGUAGGGGUGAGCGGAACUCCAGGUGGAGCGGUGAAAUGCGUAGAUAUCUGGAGGAACACCGGUGGCGAAAGCGGCUCACUGGACCGAAUCUGACACUGAGGUGCGAAAGCUAGGGUAGCAAACGGG
rnacentral:rRNA from 1 species